AAUCGGUGUACGAUACCGGGGACUUGUCCCCACCAUUGAGCCGAGGGGAACGAGCCCCAGUAACAGCAUCCGAAAGGGUGGAAAACUGAAAAAGCAAACGGAGGGUGGAGUUUGGUAGGUUUCCUUAUUGGAUUCUCGAAGAAGUCAGGCCCG
rnacentral:sRNA from 12 species